UUGUUGCAUCAAAUAAAUCGCAACCUGUUGAAAUGUUGCACCAGCAGGUAGCAAGUACACCACAUGCUAGUAAUGUUAACAGAAGUUUGAUAGCUGAAAGUCCUGUGCCAACUCCAUUAAGCUCCAAGGAAUCUGAACCUGCAAAAUUCUUGGAAAAAGAAGAAGAACCAAAACCCAAGUUACUACCAAGAAGACUGGCAAUUAUCGUUACGCCAAUUAGCACUGAAGAUCCGUACCAAGGGGUGUUUUUGAGGAGGUUAGCUAAUACAAUCAGGCUGGUUCCGCCACCAUUAUUGUGGAUUGUUGUGGAAGGGCAAUCAGAUUCAGAUGAAGUAUCGGAGAUACUUAGAAAAACAGGCAUCAUGUAUAGGCAUUUGGUCAUCAA
rnacentral:lncRNA from 1 species